UACGUAGGGUGCAAGCGUUGUCCGGAAUUAUUGGGCGUAAAGAGCUCGUAGGCGGUCUGUCGCGUCGAAUGUGAAAAUCCGGGGCUCAACCCCGGACCUGCAUUCGAUACGGGCAGACUAGAGUUCGGUAGGGGAGUCUGGAAUUCCUGGUGUAGCGGUGAAAUGCGCAGGAUAUCAGGAGGAACACCGGUGGCGAAGGCGGGACUCUGGGCCGAUGACUGACGCUGGAGGAGCGAAAGCGUGGGGAGCAAACAGGA
rnacentral:rRNA from 1 species